GUAGGCGGCGCAGCAAGUCAGGGGUGAGAUCCCGGGGCUCCACCCAGGAACUGCCCUUGAAACUGCAGUGCUAGAAUCUUGGAGAGGCGAGUGGAAUUCCGAGUGUAGAGGUGAAAUUCGUAGAUAUUCGGAAGAACACCAGUGGCGAAGGCGACUCGCUGGACAAGUAUUGACGCUGAGGUGCGAAAGCGUGGGGAGCAAACAGG
rnacentral:rRNA from 1 species